rnacentral:rRNA from 1 species
UUAAAAAGCUCGUAGUUGAAUUUCUAGUCAGUUAAUUUGGAGGUCUCCUCCACUUUAGCUGGCUAUUCGACACUGAACCAUGUCGGUUAUUAAGUUAACCCCAUGGAGAAUUGUCAUUUUACUUCGAAAAAAUUAGAGUGUUUCAGGCAGGCAAUUGCCCGGAUAUCUUAGCAUGGAAUAAUGGAAUAGGACUUUGGUUCAUUUUAUUGGUUAUUGAAUCAGAGUAAUGAUUAAUAGGGACAGUUGGGGGCAUUAGUAUUUAAUUGUCAGAGGUGAAAUUCUUGGAUUUAUUAAAGACUAACUUAUGCGAAAGCAUUUGCCAAGGAUGUUUUCAUUAAUCAAGAACGAAAGUUGGGGGCUCGAAGAUGAUUAGAUACCAUCCUAGUCUCAACCAUAAACGAUGCCGACUAGGGAUUGGCGGAUGUUAAUUGAAUGACUCCGCCAGCACCUUUAUGANAAAUCCAAAGUU